rnacentral:rRNA from 1 species
CGGGCGGGUGCUUACCUGCAGUCGAACGAUGAAGACUGGUGCUUGCACUGGUUGGAUUAGUGGCGAACGGGUGAGUAAUACGUGAGUAACCUGCCUUUGACUCUGGGAUAAGCCUGGGAAACUGGGUCUAAUACCGGAUAUGACAAGGAACCGCAUGGUUUUUUGUGGAAAGGGUUUGUACUGGUUUUAGAUGGGCUCACGGCCUAUCAGCUUGUUGGUGGGGUAAUGGCUCACCAAGGCGACGACGGGUAGCCGGCCUGAGAGGGUGACCGGCCACACUGGGACUGAGACACGGCCCAGACUCCUACGGGAGGCAGCAGUGGGGAAUAUUGCACAAUGGGCGCAAGCCUGAUGCAGCGACGCCGCGUGAGGGAUGACGGCCUUCGGGUUGUAAACCUCUUUCAGCAGGGAAGAAGCGAAAGUGACGGUACCUGCAGAAGAAGCGCCGGCUAACUACGUGCCAGCAGCCGCGGUAAUACGUAGGGCGCGAGCGUUGUCCGGAAUUAUUGGGCGUAAAGAGCUUGUAGGCGGUUUGUUGCGUCUGCUGUGAAAGACCGGGGCUUAACCCCGGUAUUGCAGUGGGUACGGGCAGACUAGAGUGCAGUAGGGGAGACUGGAAUUCCUGGUGUAGCGGUGAAAUGCGCAGAUAUCAGGAGGAACACCGAUGGCGAAGGCAGGUCUCUGGGCUGUAACUGACGCUGAGAAGCGAAAGCAUGGGGAGCGAACAGGAUUAGAUACCCUGGUAGUCCAUGCCGUAAACGUUGGGCACUAGGUGUGGGGGACAUUCCACGUUUUCCGCGCCGUAGCUAACGCAUUAAGUGCCCCGCCUGGGGAGUACGGCCGCAAGGCUAAAACUCAAAGGAAUUGACGGGGGCCCGCACAAGCGGCGGAGCAUGCGGAUUAAUUCGAUGCAACGCGAAGAACCUUACCAAGGCUUGACAUAUACUGGACCGCCUCAGAGAUGGGGUUUCCCUUCGGGGCUGGUAUACAGGUGGUGCAUGGUUGUCGUCAGCUCGUGUCGUGAGAUGUUGGGUUAAGUCCCGCAACGAGCGCAACCCUU